rnacentral:rRNA from 1 species
GGAAUCUUCCGCAAUGGACGCAAGUCUGACGGAGCAACGCCGCGUGAGUGAGGAAGGCCUUCGGGUCGUAAAGCUCUGUUGCCAGGGAAGAACGCCGGGGAGCGUAACUGCUCCCCGGGUGACGGUACCUGAGAAGAAAGCCCCGGCUAACUACGUGCCAGCAGCCGCGGUAAUACGUAGGGGGCAAGCGUUGUCCGGAAUUAUUGGGCGUAAAGCGCGCGCAGGCGGCUUUGUAAGUCUUGUGUUUAAACUCGGGGCUCAACCCCGAGUCGCAUGGGAAACUGCAAGGCUUGAGUACAGCAGAGGAAAGCGGAAUUCCACGUGUAGCGGUGAAAUGCGUAGAGAUGUGGAGGAACACCAGUGGCGAAGGCGGCUUUCUGGGCUGUAACUGACGCUGAGGCGCGAAAGCGUGGGGAGCAAA